rnacentral:lncRNA from 1 species
GAACAGUCUAAGAAAAUUAUGGCAGCACAUUAUAACAUGAACAAUCAAACUGACCGUAAGCUUAAACCAUAAACCUGUUUAAUUGAAGUCACCAGAUUAACAAACUAUUAUUUGUACCGAUUAUCAGGUUGUCUGCAGAUUGAUAUUGUAAAAUGUCAGCUGAGAGGACAAUAUCAAUCUAUUUGUCGGGUGAGCUUAGGGAACAACUUAAAAACAGAUUCAUAGUGUGUGCUCAGCAGUUGAUAUAUUACAAUAUAGAUGUGAUGUCUAUAAUCAGUCUAUCAGAUUGUAUUAGUGUAGUUUGCAUGAUAUAAACAAGUGUUUUUCUUUUGUUUCAUCAGCAAACUGGAGGAUUACUUGAAAGAUAAAUAAAUGAAUAAAUAAUCUUUAUUUCAAGAUGAUAAUCUUCCUGAGUAUCCUCAAAGUAAUAAUAACAUAUUUAUAAAGAAAAUUUAAUAGUUUUUCAUCAGUUGAACUUAAAAUAUAAUUUUGAUUACCACUAAAAUGAAAAUGUUCUUGUAAAUAGUUAGAAACCAUAUUUUUUGAUGAUUUAAAUAAAAUUAAUUAAGAAUUGUCAUAUUGAAGUCGUUUUUCCACAUUUAACCAGUUUAAACUGUAAAACUAUUGUCUUUAUAAGAUAUCUCAUAAACUAUAUAAGAUAUAUCAUAAACUUAUAUAAGAUAUCUCAUAAACUUAUAUAAGAUAUCUCAUAGACUAUAUGAGAUAUCUCAUAAACUAUAUAAGAUAUCUCAUACACAUGGCGCUGUCAGACUGUUUUAGAUUUAUGAGUUUGACUGUCCCUUUGGUAUCUUUCGUCCUUCUUUUAUAAGAUAUCCCAUAAACUAUAUAAGAUAUCUCAUAAACUUAUAUAAGAUAUCUCAUAAACUUAUAUAAGAUAUCUUAUAAACUUUAUAAGAUAUCUUAUAAACUGUAUAAGAAAUCUUAUAAACUAUAUAAGAUAUCUUAUAAACUAUAUAAGAUAUCUUAUAAAUUAUAUAAUAUAUCUUAUAAAUUAUAUAAGAUAUCUUAUAAAUUAUAUAAGAUAUCUUAUAUAGAAAUUGUUUAUAAGAUAUAUCAUAAAUUUUAUAUCUUAUAUAUUAUAGGAGAUAUCUUAUUUAGUGUAUAAGAUAUCUCAUAAAGUUUAUAAAAUAUCUUAUAAAGUAUAUAUGAUAUCUCCUAAAGUUUAUAAGAUAUCUCCUAAAGUUUAUAAGAUAUCUUAUAUAGUUUAUAAGAUAUCUUAUAUAGUUUAUAAGAUAUCUUAUAUAGUUUAUAAGAUGUAUUUUAUAGUUUAUAAGAUAUCUGAUAUAGUUUAUAAGAUAUCUUACAUAGUUUAUAAGAUAUCUCAUAUAAUUUAUUAGAUAUCUUUUAUAAUUGUCUUUAUAAGUUAUCUUAUAAACUAUAUAAGAUAUCUUAUAAACUAUAAAAGAUAUCUUAUAAACUAUAUAAGAUAUUUUAUAAACUAUAUACCUUUUUGUAAGUAUCUUCUAUAGUUUAUAAGAUAUCUUAUAUAGUUUAUAAGAUAUCUUAUAUAGUUUAUGAGAUAACUUAUAUAAGUUUAUGAGAUAUCUUAUAAUAUUAUUAAUUCAUAUAUUUUAACAAAUUUGAUUCGUUUAGGGAUAUUCACAUGUUAAACUAUAUUUUCGAAGGUAGAGAGAAAACGGCGGAUAGCAAAAAGCAUAUUGACCGGCAAAACGCAUAUUACACGGUUAUUUUUAGAAUAUCUAAAAACCGAUAUACUUUGUGACGUCAUGUAAUGAAUUUCAGGAUAUUGUUUAACGUUUUGAAACAAAUGAUAUCUGUGAUCGAUUAUUUGACGAUAAAAAAUCUUCAAAUACAUAAGAUGUCCAAAAAAAAUAGUAAAUGAAAUAACAACAAAAUAAAUAUGUUGUUAUUGUCAAUGAGACAAUGUAAUAUCUAUAAAGUUCCAACAAACCUAAAUGACGAUUUUGAUACAAAUAUGGUCGGAAAUUGAUAAUAUAACAAAUAUAGCCUUUGUAUGAGGUCAAUACAGGAUAUAUCGACCCAAAGAAGUAUAUUGACCUCGGACUUCGUCCUCAGUCAAUAUACUUCUUUCAGGUCAAUAUAUCCUUGUAUCGACCUCAUACAAAGGCUAUAUUUGUAUAUUAUAAAAGAUAUCUUAUAAAAAUUGUUUAUAAGAUAUAUCAUAUACCUUAUAAGAUAUCUUAUAAACUUUAGAAGAUAUCUUAUAAAGUAUAUAAGAUAUCUUAUAAAUUUUAUGAGAUAUCUUAUAUAACAUUAAAGAUAUCUCAUACAAUAUAAGAUAUCUUAUAUGAUAUAUUAGAUAUCUCAUAGAAAUGAAAUUAUAUAAGAUAUCUUAUAUAUUAUAGGAGAUAUCUUAUUUAGUGUAUAAGAUAUCUCAUAAUGAUUAUAAAAUAUCUUAGAAAGUAUGUAUGAUAUCUCCUAAAGUUGAUAAGAUAUCUUAUAUAGUUUAUAAUAUAUUAUAUAGUUUAUAAGAAAUCUUAUAUAAUUUAUAAGAUAUCUUAUAUAGUUUAUAAGAUAUCUUAUAUAGUUUAUAAGAUAUAUUUUAUAGUUUAUAGUUUAUAAGAUAUCUUACAUAGUUUAUAAGAUAUCUCAUAUAAUUUAUUAGAUAUCUUAUAUAAUUGUCUUUAUAAGUUAUUUCAUAUAAUUUAUUAGAUAUCUUAUAUAAUUGUCUUUAUAAGUUAUCUCAUAAACUAUAUAAGAUAUCUUAUAUAAAGAUUGUUUAUAAGAUAUCUCAUAUACUUUAUAAGUUAUCUUAUAAAAUUUAGAAGAUAUCAUAUAAAGAAUAUAAGAUAUCACAUAAAUUUUAUGAGAUAUCUUAUAUAACAUUUAAGAUAUCUUAUAUAACAUUAAAGAUAUCUUAUAUAUUAAAGGAGAUAUCUUAUAUAUUAUACGAGAUAUCUUGACAUUCGAAUAAAUAUUAAAACGGCUUGCCAUAGAAUAUACACAUUACAAUAAAUAAUAGGUAUAUGCAUAUGUUAUCUUUUGUAAUAAGUUGAUUCUAUUUGAUUUUAUAUAUUUGCUCAUUCCAAUUAAGGUUUUUGUCAAUAUAAAAAUAAACCCAAGAAGUUUUUUACAAUCUACAUUCUCCAUUUGUUCAUCUGAAAUAUUGAUAUCUAAAAACAAAUACUAUUCCUAGUUGAAUAAAGCCUCUGUUUUGAAUCAAUAAUCAUUGAUUUACAUUUUUUGGCAUUUAUUUUCAUACAAUUUUGCAAACACUAGUUUACUAUUACAUAAAUCUAUUGAUAAAUUUCCAAUGUUCAUUGGUAAAUUAUUGAUAUAUAAAAUAAAUAACAGAGCCUUGUAAAACACUAGUUUUUGUCAUGCCGGUGAUACAAGUUGCAGAAAGCUCGUCAUAGGGAUAGUGAUUCAGCAGCAGCAGCGUUAACUAACUUCUUAAAAGCUUUAUAUUUUAAAAGGUAGAAAACCUUGAUGCUUCCUACUUUGUAUAUAGAUGCCUUAUGUUAUGAAGUUUCCGUCUGUCUCGUGUCCAUUGUCCUUGACCUCAUUUUCAUGGUUCAGGGACUAAUUGAAAAAAAAAUAUUUUUGUAAUGUCAAUAUCUCUUUUAUUAUGAGUGACAGGGUAACUAUAUUUAGCAUGUGGGUACCUUGCAAGGUCCUCAUCCCCGUCAGACAGUUUUCACUUGACAUUGAUCUCAUUUCAUGGAUCAGUGAACAAGGUUGAGUUUUGUUAGUCAAGUCAAUAUCUCAAAUACUAUAAGCGAAAGGUCUAGUAUAUUUGGUGUAUGGAAGGACUGUAAGGUGAACAUGUCCAACUGGUGGGUGUUGUCUGACCUUGACCUCAUUUUUGUGGUUUAGUGGUGAAAGUUAAGUUUUUUUAGUUUUGCUCUUUUUUCUAAUACUUUAUGCAAUUAUUAUAGUUCAACUACAUUUUGUGUAUAGAAAUAUUUUAUUAUGUACAUACAUGUCAGUUUCACAAGUUUUAUUUGACCUAGACCUCAUUUUAGCGGUUCAUUGCUUAAUGUUAAGAUUUUGUGUUUAUGUCUGGUUUUCUUAAACUUUAAGCAAUAAGUCAACUAUAUAUGUUGUAUGGAAGGAUUGUAAGCUGUAUAUGUCUGUCUGACAGGUAACUAUGACCUUUACCUCACUUUGGUGGUUCAUUAAGCAAUGUUAUGUUUUAAUGGUUAAGCUUGUUUCUUUGAUACUAUAAGCAAUAGGUCAGCUAUAUUUAAUGCAUAGAUUAAUUGCAAUUAUAUAGGGUGUUAAAGGGGCACUAGCUGCCAAAUUCAUAUACACCGAUAUGACUCAAAUUUUCAUAUUUUAUUUGUAACAAUGUAAAAACAUGUUUCCAAACUAUCAAAAGUAUAAAAUAAACAAUUUACAGUACAUUGUCUCAUAAGAUGUAGCUUCGUUUCGCCAUCUAAUUAACUAUCGAGUUGAACUUCUAUGACAAUAUUAGCGAUGUAAACAUAAACAUAGAUAUAAAUAGAUUUAGCAACUCGUGUAGUUAGAUUUUUAUAGGUCUGUAAAAUUUUGUAUUAUAGAUUUAAAAUUUAUUUGUAUCGUCGUUUUUACAUUUAAAAGAAAAUUUUUGUGUGGAUCGAAUCAGUUAAUAAUUAUUUACCCUUGUUUCACUUUCAAUGUUGACAUUCUUUUCCUUUUAAUACCCGUACUCGCACAAUGCAUGCGUUAUUCUAUCUCUUUCUACUGGGUUAAAUUGGAGUUCACAUGAAUACGGAUUAUAUGAGGUCGAAUUAUUCACUUGCAAGUGAAUAAUUCAUUAUCAAUGUUUAUUAGCUAAAUUUGAUAAAAUUGAACCAUUUUAGCUGAUAAAAGCACAUUAUUAUUUCACUAUUUCACUUUCAUUAAUGAUUGAACAAAAAAAAAUCAUACUUUUGAUUUUUUAUACAUCUCGUAGCUUGUGCCCCUUUAAUGUGCGAGGUCAAGUGAAAACUGUCUGACAGGCAUGAGGACCUUGCAGGGUACGCACAUACCAAAUAUAGUUAUCCUAUUACUAAUAGUAAGAGAGAAUUUAACAUUACAAAAAAUCUUAACUUUUUUUUCAAGCAGUCACUGAACCAUGAAAAUGAGGUCAAGGACAUUGGACAUGUGACUAACGGAAACUUCGUAACAUGAGGCAUCCAUAUACAAAGUAUAAAGAAUCCAGCUCUUCCACUAUUAAGCUUUAAAGAAGUUAGCGAACGCCGCCGCCGGAACACUAUCCCUGUCGAGCUUUCUGCGACAAAAGUCUCAGGCCCGACAAAAAACUAUAGGAGCUAGGUUUGACUUGUGAAUUACAAGACCGACGAGAAACCCAAAGAGUUACUGUAGUAUCUGUAUUUGGAAGUCCUAAUUAGCGAACUGGUGAUCAGCUGUGCCAGUGGUUAAAAAUUUUCAGCCAAUUUGAUACCUACGUCGAAAAUAAGAGAUCUAUCAAAUUAUUGUGUCUUACCUAUUGUAAAUUUUUUUCAGCAUCAAUCAUCAUGGACUUAGGACAAAGAAAUAUAGAUAUGAUCAUGACUGGUAGUCCAUUUUUUGUAGAGGUAAGAUGUUCAGCAAAGUAAGAUCUACAAAAAAGUUUAUAUGACCAUAAUUGUCAAUUGACCCCUUAAGGAGUUAUUGCCCUUUAAAGACAAUUUUACACAAUUUGUUCAUCAAGUUCGAUAACAUUUGAAAAAAAUCUUCUUCUCUGAAAGUACUGGGCCAAUUACUUUCAAACUUUAAUUUAAUGUUCCUUGGGGUAUCUUGUUUAUAAAAUGUAUCCGAAGUUUUGAUCAAUUGACAAACAUGGCCGCCAUGGCUAAAAAUAGAACAUAAAGUUGUUUCUUUGGUGCGCACAUACUUUUCCAAACUUAAACAUGCUUAAAAUUUGAUGAAAAACAUAGAAAAUCAACAACAAAAAAUCAAAAUAUGCAAAUUUAGUCAUGGUUUGUUGUCAUGGUAACUUACUUCAAUGUGAAAUUUGUUUUUAUUUUCUGAAUACAUUGUCUAGUUUGGACAAAUUUAUUGAUAUGUGUGAUAACUUUUUAAAUUGGGCCUUAUUGCCCCUACUCCUUCAAAGGAGUAGGUCCGGUAAGGACCGAUUUUGGCCUCAAAUUUCAGGUUCAUCUAAUUAAAGUUUUUGGACACUUUUUAAACACCUAAGUGUCUACUUUAAUUGAUUCGAUUAGUUUAUGUAAACGAUUUUAACUGAUUUAGUCAUAAAAAACGCUCUGAUUCAAGCUUAAAUACGAAAAAUCUAUAAAAUAUGCCAAAAAACGUCACUUUUCAGAUGGUUUUUGUCAAAAAUGAAAGUAGCCGCAUCCGUGUUCAUCCUCAACCUUUAUAUAUGUUUUGUAUUAUCAUCAAAUACAACUUCCAUUUCAAUAUUAUGAAUGAACACGAAUGCGGCCACUUUCAUUUUAGACGGAAACCGUCUAAAAAUUAACCAAAAUGUUAAAAUUUUGAAGAUUUCAGUAAUUUUAGUAAUUUAGCAUGACUUAAUGAUGCUAGUACGCGAUAUGUGUGCAUUGCAUUGUCAAAAACAGCUCAUAUUUAUGUAGCAGAAGCAUUAUACUUUCCAAAAUAUAGCUUAAAGAUUACAUUUUCACAAUUUUGUAAAACCGCUAUAUUUUGGGGCCAAAAAGGGGUCUUACUGAACUAUAACUCCUUUUAAUCCCCAAAAUAAUGCUUUUUACAUACAUUUAAAGCUUAUAAAUAUUGAUGUGUAUUUUCUUCUUUUUUUUUUUUAGAGUACAACAGAUUAUUCCAGAUAUAAUCUUCACUACAACUAAGAAAUAGCUGACAAUUUUAAUGAAUACACAAUGUACUAUAUAAAUACAACUAUAUCCAUGAAUUACAAUAAACAGCAUUUACA